GACGAACGCUGGCGGCGUGCUUAACACAUGCAAGUCGAACGAGUGGCGAACGGGUGAGUAAUGUCUGGGAAACUGCCCGAUGGAGGGGGAUAACUACUGGAAACGGUAGCUAAUACCGCAUACCAUCGGAUGUGCCCAGAUGGGAUUAGCUAGUAGGUGGGGUAACGGCUCACCUAGGCGACGAUCCCUAGCUGGUCUGAGAGGAUGAACGGCCACAUUGGGACUGGGACACGGCCCAAACUCCUACGGGAGGCAGCAGUGGGGAAUAUUGCACAAUGGGGGAAACCCUGAUGCAGCAACGCCGCGUGCGGGAUGACGGCCUUCGGGUUGUAAACCGCUUUCAGCCAUGACGCGGUAGUGGCAGAAGAAGCACCGGCUAACUACGUGCCAGCAGCCGCGGUAAUUC
rnacentral:rRNA from 1 species